GAAAAGGCAUUGGUGUUUUCUUGUCUCUUCUGUUGAUUUGAAAAUGAUCACUUCCGGUGAAAACCCACUUUACAGGGAUGGCAAAGGACCAGUGCUGCUUUAAGGCUUUUAGUGAACAUCUGAAGUGCCCACAAGUAUGUUCUUUUCACUGCUGUUUCUUUUACAGAAAUAACAAUGGUUUUGACCAAACUUAUAUUAGGACAGAAUUAAUGAUGCUUAAGGAGAAAGGAGAAAAGAGAGAGAGAGAAGAAAUUGGAAAGACGCAAAAAGGAGGAUGAGACAAGUUACCUUUUGACAAUCUGUUAGGAAGGUAUGCAGUGUGAGACUUAACGUAUUUCUGAUCACUCUAAGACUGUCCUCCCACGAGAUUGAUGCUGACUUAACUGUUUACCUAUAAACCCAUACAAAGCAGGGUCAUAUUUGUUAUCUGUGGUGGACUACUAGCUGACAUCACAGGCUUCUACUGAAAGUCCCGAAAAGACCUUGCAGUAGUCCAAGCUACACCAAACAUUAACCCAUAUUUGUGGUAAACAUUUCUGUAUAAAGUACCUGCCAAGCAUAGAAACACAAAGACCAUUCCAUACCAUUAGUCAGAAAGCAAAAGAAAAAAUAUGUAAUAAUAACAAAACGGAAAAAAAAAGAUAAAACAACAAAAACCCUUGGUCAUUUGUAAGACACCUCAUGUCAUAUAAAAGUUCAAUGUAAAAAGAUAUAGUCUGUGUUGUCCUGAACACAUGUAGACCUAUUCACUUCAUUAAAGAAGAAAAUUUUGAAAAUUUAAAAUGUCUAUUUAGCAUUUUAGUGUCCAACAAAGAUAUAAGUAAUGGUGAGUUUAUUUUACAUUUGAACAGUUCUGAAUUAUGGGUUAUCACUGAGUAGUAAUACUGAGAGAAAAUUAACAAAACUAAAAUGUUUUACUCAGUUUUUGGACACUAAAAUAGCUCAGGAAAGUGAAAAAAAAAGACUUAGACAUAACAAAUCAUAUGACCAUUUAAAUGUGCAGAUGUAAGAAGAUUCAAUGUGUUUACAUCAAAUGACAUAUUUUUAUUGAUUUAUUGCAGAUUCUGUGCAUAUGAGCCAAAUUGUUGAGUGUAUAAGAGCUAUAUUGUGUAUUUUAUUAAAUUAAUAUAUAGUUGUGUUGCAAAACUCUUUGGGCUUAUAUUGUAAAUGGCGAGUGUUGCCUCGGUAGCUGUCGAACUCUAUGAGUUUUGUUUUUCCUGCUUCCUUUUCCCCAUGGAGCGUGGGGAGCAGGGCCUCAGAGCAAAGUCUCUCGUUUAAUGUAUAGUCUACCAAGUAUACAGUACACAAUUCUGUUCAAAGUGUGUUUGAGUGAGCCGAUAAAGCUAACUGAAAGACCAGAAAAAUACAUCUGUCAGUCAUAGUUCUGUGAAAGUCCUUGUAGAAAGCUUUGAUUAAAGUCAUGCUAAAUCACAAGAAGGUUCCCCCCCUUACUCUCCAUACCAUGAAGCUUCUGCCUAUGUAGAUAUCAUAACAUUGGUUGGCUCUCAAAGUAUCUUCAGUGGUUCCGGUGUGUGUACACAUCAUAUUCGUAAGCGUACGAAAUGUUCAAAUGCAUGUGUAGGGCCAGUGCUGGUUACAUGCAUUGUGUGCUGUGUCUCAAGAGGUCUGGGUCUUAAACAAAAUGUGCUUUUUAACUUUAUCUCUGUGCUCUUCUGCCUGUUUUUAUUUGUGUUCUUUGAGACUAAUGCCUAUUAUUCCAUCAUUGGUUUCACCUUUUCCUGUGGCAUUUAGCAAGUUUCCAACCUACUUCCUUAUGAGGCUAAGAAAACUCUAAUUUCAGGAAUUGGGAAAAAUAAAAUUAGCACUCACAGAAGUAGUAGCAGAUGGGGAAAUGCCUUGAUUGACAUUUCCCUUCAGCAUUUAAUUUUUUUUUUCAGCAUUUAACAGCUUCAUGGCAAACAGUUUGAGCCCAUACCUUGGAAAAUGUGGUGCUGAGUUAAAUAAAGGCUGUUUGUGCUCUGAAGCAGGAAAAAAUUUAUUAUUUGUAAACUGGGAGGGAUUUCUGUGCCUUCUUUUCUUGCCACCAAGCCAGUAUAGAAACAGUAUAAAUGUCAAAAAUAAUAAUAACCUUAUACUAAAAACAAACAGAAAAGCAAAACAAACUUUGAACUAAAUUAAGUUCUUUAACUAAUAAUAAAAAAAAAUCUGCUGGAAAUCUUUCCAUCAUUUCAGGAAAGUUUUAGAUUGUACGUUUUAGAUUGGAUGGCACCCCCCCCCCCCAGGCCCCUUAUUCUCUUGAGAACUGCAUUGGGGUCUUGGUAAGAGCCUCUCUACAUCUCUACUCCUGCCUUUUGUUAUCCAUCCAUGUUUAAAUUAGAAAAGAGGGGAUCUUUUACAUGUGAAAUCCAACUGACCCUAUAUUUUGGACCAUUUAUGUAGCUACAAUGUGUGUCUCUGUUCUAUGAUGUUACUUUUACCAGGAGACUACAAAUUGAUUUAGCUUGAUAGGUAGUUGAAAGUUGCUGAAAAACUGUUUCCAUGUAGUCAUCUUGAGCUUUGCCUCUCUCACUAUUCAGAUAACCACUUUAGUGACAUCUCAAGCAGUGUGCAAGGAAACUCAACACAAACAAUAGGUUUAUUUUUCAAAACUUCUUAGUUCUAAGUAACCAGCUGUUCAAUGUAUUGUUAAGCGUCUGAAACAUUGAAACACCAUACAAGUCUCAGAACUGGUUGUGCCAACAUGUGAUGGAUUGACUCUAAGCUGUCACUAGUGGUCUGCUAGUGUUAGCUGUUUAAUACAUUAUCUGUACUUAAUAGUGAUUAUUUAUUUACAAGUUGGUGGUAGUUCAAGUCAGGACUCUGAGCUUUUUUAGUUGAGGGAAUCUUGUUUUUAUUCAUCUCCCUGGGACCUGCCUUUAACACAGAACUCUGGUGCUUGGCUUCCAAGGAAGCCUUUGUGAUGCCAAAAUCAUACCUUUGAGGAAACAAUGGCUGUAAUGGAUGGUACAUAAUUGGGGGGAGUUGAGGGGUUUCUGCAAUUUAAAAUGCUUUACAUACACACACACACACACACACACACACACACACACACACACACAUUGAAAAAAAAAAGUCCUUUAAUUCUUUAGAGGUAUUUAAGCAGAGGAAAACUGUCAAUUUUGGGAAAUUUUAGUAAAAGACACAAAACAAAAAAAAGAAAUGCGUAGUGGUGAACUAAAGACAAAACAUCAGUAAUGAAAUAUUUUCCCCAUUUGUUAAUGAGGAAUAUGUUUUCAUUAAAAUUCAACAUAGUACGAAUCACUGUUACGCUAUAUCAAAGUAAACACCGAAGGGACAUCUAUAUUCUCAAAGAAGAUUGUCACGUUGUUUCUUUACUAGACAAACUUAUACUUAUGGCAAACAACACAAAAAACUAGACCUUGUUCCAUCGAUUCACUGAAUUACUGGGAGAGAAAUUGAUUGUUGCUUUCCCGAAAUUACCUAGGCUCUUGUAAAACAUGACUUUCCUUUUAAGGAUGUAGGCACUGCUCAAAUUA
rnacentral:lncRNA from 1 species